CGUGGCGGACGGGUGAGUAACGCGUGGGUAACCUGCCCUGUACAGGGGGACAACAGCCGGAAACGGCUGCUAAUACCGCAUAAGCCCGCGGCGCCGCAUGGCGCUGCGGGGAAAACUCCGGUGGUACAGGAUGGGCCCGCGUCUGAUUAGCUAGUUGGCGGGGUAACGGCCCACCAAGGCAGCGAUCAGUAGCCGGCUUGAGAGAGUGGACGGCCACAUUGGGACUGAGACACGGCCCAGACUCCUACGGGAGGCAGCAG
rnacentral:rRNA from 1 species